AGCCCCAGUAAACGGCGGCCGUAACUAUAACGGUCCUAAGGUAGCGAAAUUCCUCGUCGGCUAAAAACCGACCUGCACGAAUCGUGUAACGACUUGGCCGCUGUCUCAACGAGGGACUCGGUGAAAUUGUAGUUCCGGUGAAGAUGCCGGAUACCCGCGGCAGGACAGAAAGACCCCGUGAACCUUUACUAUAGCUUGGUAUUGGAUUUUGACACUGUAUGUGUAGGAUAGGUGGGAGGCUAUGAAGCGGGAGCGCUAGUUUUCGUGGAGCCGACCUUGAAAUACCACCCUUGCCUUGUUAAAAUUCUAACCUUGGUCCUUUGAUCAGGAUCGGAGACAGUGCCAGGUGGGUAGUUUAACUGGGGCGGUUGCCUCCUAAAGAGUAACGGAGGCGCCCAAUGGUUCCCUCAGCGCGGUCGGUAAUCGCGCGUAGAGUGUAAAGGCAUACAGGGAGCUUGACUGCGAGACCUACAAGUCGAGCAGGUGCGAAAGCAGGGCUUAGUGAUCCGACGGUUGCGCGUGGAAGCGCCGAAGCUCAACGGAUAAAAGGUACUCCGGGGAUAACAGGCUUAUUGCCCCCAAGCGCUCAUAGCGACGGGGCAGUUUGGCACCUCGAUGUCGGCUCAGCGUAUCCUGGGGCUGGAGAAGGUCCCAAGGGUUUGGCUGUUCGCCAAUUAAAACGCUACGCGAGCUGGGUUCAGAACGUCGUGAGACAGUUCGGUCCCUAUCCGCCGUGGGUGUAGGAUAUUUGAGAAGAUCUGACCCUAGUACGAGAGGACCGGGUUGGACGAACCUCUGGUCAACCAGUUGUUCCGCCAGGAGCAUCGCUGGGUAGCUACGUUCGGAAGGGAUAAACGCUGAAGGCAUCUAAGCGUCAAGCCCACUUCAAAACUAGAUAUCCCGUAGGGUUAACCUACCUAAAGGCCCCUCGUAGACUACGAGGUUGAUAGGUUGCAGGUGGAAGCGCAGCAAUGUGUGAAGCCGAGCAAUACUAAUUGGCCGUGAGGCUUGACCAUUUU
rnacentral:rRNA from 1 species